rnacentral:rRNA from 1 species
UACGGAGGGUGCUAGCGUUAAUCGGAAUAACGGGGCGUAAAGGGCACGCAGGCGGGCUUUUAAGUGAGAUGUGAAAUCCCCGGGCUUAGCCUGGGAAUAGCAUUUCAGACUGGGAGUCUAGAGUACUUUAGGGAGGGGUAGAAUUCCACGUGUAGCGGUGAAAUGCGUAGAGAUGUGGAGGAAUACCGAAGGCGAAGGCAGCCCCUUGGGAAUGUACUGACGCUCAUGUGCGAAUCCGUGGG